AGCAAAUAAUGUCUUUUCUCACGAUACUCUGUGGAUUUCACUGUGUGCAGUAUCAAUGAUAGCCAUGGCUCAGCAGAUACCAGGAG